UACGUAGGGUGCAAGCGUUGUCCGGAAUUAUUGGGCGUAAAGAGCUCGUAGGCGGUCUGUCGCGUCUGCUGUGAAAACUCAGGGCUUAACCCUGAGCUUGCAGUGGGUACGGGCAGACUAGAGUGCGGUAGGGGAGACUGGAAUUCCUGGUGUAGCGGUGAAAUGCGCAGAUAUCAGGAGGAACACCGGUGGCGAAGGCGGAUCUCUGGGCCUUACCUGACGCUCAGGUGCGAAAGCUAGGGGGAGCGAACAGG
rnacentral:rRNA from 1 species